AUCAGUUGGGUGGAGUGGGAUGACUGCCCUCCCACUCCGCUCAUGUUCCAGCAGCUUUGUGAAGUCAUCAAUGGGGACAUUUUCCAACGAGGAUGCUCACCCACCAUCCCUGCUUUCCUCUCCUUUGCCACCUCCAUCCAUGUCCAUGAAAUUCCCCACAGGCUGUCAGAGCACCACGCUGGGGACCUUCUUUGCCUUUUCUUUGACAUUGCAAGGGUGCUGAAUCAAGCGUCUGCGAGAGAGAUUGGGCGUGAUCUGCACGG